rnacentral:rRNA from 1 species
GACGAACGCUGGCGGCGUGCUUAACGCAUGCAAGUCGAACGGAAAGGCCCUGCUUUUGUGGGGUGCUCGAGUGGCGAACGGGUGAGUAACACGUGAGUAACCUGCCCUUGACUUUGGGAUAACUUCAGGAAACUGGGGCUAAUACCGGAUAGGAGCUCCUGCUGCAUGGUGGGGGUUGGAAAGUUUCGGCGGUUGGGGAUGGACUCGCGGCUUAUCAGCUUGUUGGUGGGGUAGUGGCUUACCAAGGCUUUGACGGGUAGCCGGCCUGAGAGGGUGACCGGCAACAUUGGGACUGAGAUACGGCCCAGACUCCUACGGGAGGCAGCAGUGGGGAAUAUUGCACAAUGGGCGGAAGCCUGAUGCAGCAACGCCGCGUGCGGGAUGACGGCCUUCGGGUUGUAAACCGCUUUCGCCUGUGACGAAGCGUGAGUGACGGUAAUGGGUAAAGAAGCACCGGCUAACUACGUG